UUUUUUUAAUGAUUUGAAUUGUAUUUGAAGUGUAUUUUCUUUUCUUUUAUUUAUUUUGUUGAUUUGAGUGGCUCCUUUGGUGGUCGCGAGGCAUCUUGCAAGCCUUAUUACAAGCGAGUCUGUCUCAAGAGCCUCCCCGCGUCCAUCGGACGCCGACUCCUCAUCAGACUCUCGCGUUUGAGAAUUUUGUAUUUUGGGGGAUUUGAUUUCCACUUUUUUUUCUACGGCCAAGGCGUGACCGAUUGAUUGCACUUACUUUUUUUUUUUUUUUAACGACUGUUUGGGAAACAUUUGGGAAUCUUGUAGCCUUUCUUAUUCACUUGUUCUACUACUUUCCUUUAACACUUGACCCCUCCUCCCAGCUCACGGCUCACCCCCCACCCACUUGUACUUCACUCCCGCCCCCCAAUCCUGUUAGUUUUCCAGUCUUUGGUUCACUUUCACUCAUUACAUGCUCUGGCUACAUUUUUUUCAAUAAUCACACAAAUGGAGAGUUUGGGAAUAAAAUGACUUGUUUUUUUCCAAAGCUGAAUUAAGAACUCGUGUGAUGUUUUUCAAAGGGGCAGACAGCAAGCAGAUGUGACGCAUUGGGGGUGCACAUUAAGAGGAUGGACAUUUUCGAGCGCGUGUGACUUCAACCUCCAUAAUCUGAUGGCGGGAGGAGGUGGGGCGGGUGCCUCCUACCAGCUGCCAAAGCAGAACACAACACUUGCUCUUUUUGACAGUAAACAUCAACAGGGAGUGGCAAGAAUCAGCUCGAAGACGCCUUUUGGAAAAACUGCUCACAAUCUGCUGCUUCUUGUCAAGUCAGUCGAGAAAUUGGAGCUCGGGGCACAGUCUGGUGCGUGCGGGCGCGGGAGUGGCACAUUUUCUGAGGGUGUGGUUUAAUGCCCCCAACCACCCCUCCCCCGCUUGCUCUGGAUGAAAUCAGCCAUGCCUCACACGCACACCGAGAGUACAUAAAGUCGUAAGAAAUGCACCGAUAUUUCACUCACGCACACAUACAGAGUGGAGAGAGAGAGAGAGAGACCCGAACCGUUGUGUGAUGUGCGGAUGGGCCAGCCUUGUGACACAACACAACGGAAUACCCAACCCCCGCUCGGCCCCCCCUUGUAUCCAU